rnacentral:lncRNA from 1 species
UUAUACAUAUAUUUAUAUAUUCACAUCGAUAUAUCCACAUUAACAUGCUCAAUUUUCCCCAGGUGGUGGACAGCCUGAACAACGGAUUUUAAACAACAACAACAACAAUAAGAAAUCUAUGUGGGGAAAACAAAAAAUCCCACAAGCGCCAUCAUCUGCAAACUCUGCGUAUGGUUUUGCUUCAAUGUUUAAUAACCCAGUUGCAGUGUCGAUGUUUUUGUCAGGAAAUAUGCCCGACACUCUUCAGGAAGUGAUACAAAUGAAUAUGGCGGGAAACCUUUUAGGAGGCAGAGGCAUGGGUCAAGGCAUUGGCUUCCGGCAGUUGGCCGCUCUUUCCUUCUUGGAGGGAUUAUCAAAAUGAGAAGAGACGAUAUCACACCAGGGACAUCGCGUCUUUAGGAAGAAGCGAUCCACCAAUGUCAAUAACAUGCGUAUCCUAUCAAUGUUUUCUUUUCAAUUUUUAACACAACUGUGAAGAAAUUGUGAACUGUCAACCUAUAUAUAUCAAAUAGAUUCUAUUUGUCAUACCGGUGAAAUGUAAAGGUUCUUUGUCACUGUUGUUGCAAAAACAUACCUCAUUUGAUGUGUUUGGUGACUGGAAAGGGAACAGUCAUAUCAAUAUAUGUUACUGUGUUUUUACACUGUUUUCAUUCAAAAUAACAUAAAAGUUAAAUCAAAUUCGCGUCAGCUGGUCAAAUGUCAAAUAAUACGAAAAAUUCAUAAGUUUUAUUUUUUAAUUAGGGAAAUAUUAUACUUUCAUACCUACAGACAGAAACAUGGAUGUCAUUAUGGUAUACAAAGUGUAUACAAACCAUACCCAAAUAAUUACCAUUCCGUAACAGUAUUUUCUAUCAAUAUUAGGCUAAAUGUUAAGACCAUGAAUUUACUUCAUUUAUUGUGGAUGGUUAACUACUUUAUUUAUAAAAUAUUUUAACGUCUAAACUUUUAAAAUGUGCAAGACUUCUGUUCAGUCUUAAAUGUAAAUGCUCAAAUACAUGUAUGUUUAUUUCUCAUAUAGUUUCCUUGUGUUGAAAAAUUGAAUUUUACAUCGAAAAACAUGAAUUGUGUUAUGCAUAAUAUUACGCCUCCCAAGCGACUUAGUGACUUUUCCCAGAAAAAUUCCUUUCUAUCAUCCGUUCCAGUUUUUAGUCGCACCGCACUCCGUGAAAAAAAUGUUAGAGAAACGUUCGACAGACUACAGAUGUCCGCGAGGAGAUGAGAUGUUUUUCUCGCCUUUCUAGUGACCUUUUUACGUCUGGGACGUAUAAAAGACUGUCACUUCUUCACUUUAGCGACCUCUUUGUGUAUUUGUAGUUGUUUACGGCGAUCUACGGUAAUAAAGAAAAUAUCAACAGAGAGGUGUAUUCGUCUUCAAUUUCCAUAACAUUGCCGUGGAAGCGUUACACUUAAGCAGCGUGUUCGAAUUUGUCUCUUUAUCAUGUUAAGGAAAUUAUUUCAGGUUUGUGAAAAUAACAAUACGGAAUAUGUAAGAUAUCUAUGAUAUCAUUUAUACUUCAUUACGUUAAUAGGAGACCAAAACACGCUACUUUUGUUAUUUGCUGCAUGAAUGUAUUUACAACUAUAAAAUGUAUUUAUGAUUUCGAAUAUACAUAUAUUACAAAGCAUGUUGAGAAGACGUAUACUAUCCAGCAUGUAAAUUCAUGACACGAUGCCUUAUCUGUAAUCGCGUUGGAAGAAGAUCCUGAUCGAAUUUUUACGACCUGAGGUAACAUUAUACAAUUAUAUUUCCCUUUUAGCUAUUUACUUAUUUACAAGUACGGUGUUGUAGAUUCGUACAUGCUUUUGUUGACUUUUCUAGAUAUGUUGUAGAUUAAAUAUCUUUAUCUGAUACUCUAACCAGUGAUUGAGAAUGUAAUAAAACCUUUCCCAGCCAAAACAAAUUUUGAUAAUAAAUGGUUAUGCAUGUUUUUUUUUAUAUUAUGUGAUAUUGAAUAUAUCAUAUUUUCUAUUAUGAAAUGAAAUUGUAUUAAUAUAGGACAGGUAUCGUGUUCCGAAUGGAACUUAUCGUGGAUAAAUUUACUUAUUAAUAUGUCUAUAGAAGCAUGUUCUACCUUUAAGAAAGUAUAAACAAAAUCAAAAAAAUACAAAUUAUAACAACGCAAACAAUGUCAGUUACCUUUUAAAUGAGGCGGUGAAUGAUCAAUAGAGAAAAUAAUAUCUAGUCCUUACGGUGGGUUGUGUUAGGAAGGAACUCUCUUCCACAGUGUGGAUAUGAUGAGUCCUAUAUUAAUGCACUACACUUUUUAUUUUGAUAAGGAGGUACUCAAGGUGGGUUGAUGAAGCCCGCCGGUGCUCCCGGUGUAGGAAACGCAGGUGCGAUGCCAACUCGACCUAACCCAAUGAUGGCAGGUAUGGCACCAUGGCUGAUGAUGAGCGGAAACGACAUGAUGCGAGAUAUGAUGAGAUGGAACAUGAUGAUGAGAGGCCUUGGUCCAAUGAUGGGAGGCAUGGGAGGUAUGGGAGGCACGGGAGGCAAUGCCCUGCAAAGAUUGAUGUACUUCAAUGCUCUUACUGGAAAUGAUAUGGGAUUCGGAAUGUUUUAAAUCCAGUUCCAAUGACACCAAGCAUACACGUGUGAAUUGAAUCUCAAGAAGAAAGGUGUUGCGGUUAUUCUGUCACGGAGUUCGGAUGGCUCUCGUUAUGUUUUAUGAUACUUGGAGCAACAAAGAAAAUGGAAAAUUUCAAUGAAACGUUUCUUUCUUUUUUUCUUAAUCCAUAAUUCUUUCGACGAGUGCUAACAUACACAUGUAGGGUGUUGAGCUAUUCAUGUAAGGAUAGAACAAUGGUGUCUGUUUCGAUAAUACUAGUUUAAGCUGUGAAUACACGCAUGACUCAGAAACUAUUCUGAUGAGCUGAUAUUCAUUUUCUAUAACACUUUUCUAUUACAUGUAUUAUUUGUGAUAUACCUCAUUCAUAACAAAGUUUUUAUUUCUUUUCUUUUUUUUCAAAAGUGAUUUUUUGUGUUUUGUCUUUUUUUCAAAAAAAAAAAGAUUUUUUUUCAAUAAAUCGAAUAACUGAACGGCGUCUACAAGAAUGAAUGUAAAAUAUGAAAUACAAGAUAUAAUUUUCCAUGGCAAAAUUUGCGUACAAUUAGCUCGUUUUGAGUUUUUCUGGCGUCGCAUUAUUCAUUCAUUGAUUGUAUGUACAUUUUUUAUAUGUUAAAGUAUAUUUUUCUUCUUUAAUAAAAUGUCUUCAGAAAAUGUAUCAUGUCUUUAUUUGUUA